rnacentral:rRNA from 1 species
UACGUAGGGACCAAGCGUUGUUCGGAUUUACUGGGCGUAAAGGGCGCGUAGGCGGCGCGGUAAGUCACUUGUGAAAUCUCUGAGCUUAACUCAGAACGGCCAAGUGAUACUGCAGUGCUAGAGUGUGGAAGGGCAAUCGGAAUUCUUGGUGUAGCGGUGAAAUGCGUAGAUAUCAAGAGGAACACCUGAGGUGAGACGGUUGCUGGCCAACACGUGACGCUGAGGCGCGAAGCCAGGAGCAAACGG